rnacentral:rRNA from 1 species
AUUGAACGCUGGCGGCAGGCCUAACACAUGCAAGUCGAACGAGUGGCGGACGGGUGAGUAAUGUCUGGGAAACUGCCUGAUGGAGGGGGAUAACUACUGGAAACGGUAGCUAAUACCGCAUACCAUCAGAUGUGCCCAGAUGGGAUGAGCUUGUGGGUGGGGUAACGGCUCACCAAGGCGACGAUCCCUCGCUGGUCUGUGAGGAUGACCAGGCACCCUGGAACUUAGACACGGUCCAGACUCCUACUGGAUGCAGCAGUGGGGAAUAUUGAACAAUGUGCGCAAGCCUGAGGCAGCCAUGCCGCGUGUAUGAAGAAGGCCUUAGGGUUGUAAAGUACUUUCAGCGUGGAGGCGUUACCCGCAGAAGAAGCACCGGCUAACUCCGUGCCAGCAGCCGCGGUAAUAC